CAGUAGCGUAUAUUAAAGUUGUUGCAGUUAAAAAGCUCGUAGUUGGAUUUCUGGUACGCUGCGCCUGGCCCGCCCACGUUAGUGGUGUGAGUGUCGGUGCGCGGUUGCCAUCCUUCUAGAGAACGUGUCUACCUUUAAUUAGGCCGGGCUACGGGAUCUAGAUCAUUUACUUUGAAAAAUUAGAGUGUUUAAAGCAGGCUUUUGCUAUGAAUACAUUAGCAUGGAAUAAUAAUAUAGGACUUUGGUUCUAUUUUGUGGUUUCUAGGACUAAAGUAAUGAUUGAUAGGGAUAGUUGGGGGCAUUAGUAUUUAAUUGUCAGAGGUGGAAUUCUCGGAUUUGUUAAAGACUAACUUAUGCGAAAGCAUUUGCCAAGGAUGUUUUUCAUUAAUCAAGAACGAAAGUUGGGGGAUCGAAGACGAUUAGAUACCA
rnacentral:rRNA from 1 species